rnacentral:rRNA from 1 species
UGAGGAAUAUUGCGCAAUGGAGGAAACUCUGACGCAGCAACGCCGCGUGAGUGAAGAAGGCUUUCGGGUUGUAAAGCUCUGUCAGGUGGGAAGAAACCUUUAUAGUUGAAUAGGCUAUAAAACUGACGGUACCACCAAAGGAAGCACCGGCUAACUCCGUGCCAGCAGCCGCGGUAAGACGGAGGGUGCAAGCGUUGUUCGGAAUCACUGGGCGUAAAGCGCGUGUAGGCGGCUUGACAAGUCGAAUGUGAAAGCCCGGGGCUCAACCUCGGAAGUGCAUUCGAAACUGUCAGGCUUGAGUACGGGAGAGGGAAGUGGAAUUCCUGGUGUAGAGGUGAAAUUCGUAGAUAUAUGGAGGAACACCAGUGGCGAAGGCGGCUUCCUGGUCUGUAACUGACACUGAGGCGCGAAAUCGUGGGGAGCAAACA